rnacentral:lncRNA from 1 species
UUUUUUCAUUAAAUAGAAACAGUAAUUUAUUUAUAUGCUGCUUUCUUACAUGGUUUCUUACUUGAUUUACCAAUCAUAUACCAUUUGCAUAUGCCUCCCCCCUUUUUUUUUGGAUGGUGACCAAACUUUUUGGAAUUACUGUGAAAAGUCAAAUGAGUCUAAAUUUGUAUUGAGACACCCAGUGAUGCCUUAAUAUUUAAAGGCACCCACCAAUUCAUUUCAGCAACACUGAUACCCACAUUGCUUUCUUGUCACCCAUAUCCUCAUAGGAAAUAGAAACUUGAAAAUUUUAUGAUUUUUUUUGUUUAGAUUUACCUUAAUUAUUAAAAAUUAGUCUCUAGUUUCACUUGCUCUAACUAAAAGAAAGCUAACAUAGAUCUAUUGUUUAUUUGUGUUCCUUAAAUUAGUUGUUUUGGGCAAUAAUGGCCAAAUUCCUCCCACUUUUCCUCCCAAGAAACUGUUCAGCACAAAUUAGUUGUGGCUGGAGAGUCAACCGAGCUCAUUUCCCAGUUAGGUAGCUCAGUAACAGUGAGCUUUUGACUCUUUUCGGUAUUUUUUAGAAAUACUGUGUUCUCUGGUCUUCUUGGGCAGAAGUGUCCCUGUGGCAGUGGUCUGUGAACUGAUGCCUUGUAGAAAAUCCAUCCCAGCAGCACAAGCCACUUGAGAUUACAACUUCAUUAAAACAAAGUUGGCAGGGUUGGUUAUAGCAGAGACUGUGAGGGGUGGACACAGUCCGGCAGCCUCUGUCAUGUCCUAACAUUUGCCACCAAGUGUGGCACUGUGUCAGAUGCUGAUAACGAGGUGCCAAAUACCUGCUAUUGCCUCCUCACCCAAUAGCAGAAUCAGCCUUUGUGGUGAUGUCUUUAUGGAUCCAGGGCCAGUUUAUCAGUUAUUUUACUGAUGUGCCCAAAUUAAGGGCACAACCUCUUUAGAAAGGUCAGUGGUGGCUCAGAGGGGCAAAACCGAGACCUCUCAACACAUCCCAGCAGCGGGAUACAGUGGUGUCCUCCAGCCAUGUCCUCUUACAGGGAGGCUGUAGUAAUACCUCCCUCUGCCCAGCACCUUUUUCCAUGGAAAGAAAAUCAGGGGGUGCUUUCCCUGAUAGACAGGAGCCAUAGCAGGUUUCAGCAGUGGUCACUGAAGCUGCAUGACUGAGGACGAGCAUAGGCCUGAAGUCUUAACAUAACCUCAGAAAGCCUGGGCUCCAUUUCAAAGACGCUGCAGAUCAUGGAUGAAACCUAAACUCCUAGCUCAGUCACACAAGUGAGAUACUUAAAGCUGAACAGUGUG